CUUGACUCAAGCUAGCGAACAAUUGUAGCGAACAAUUAGCUAGCGAACAAUUAGGAGGUAUGACUAAAAACCACAAUAUCACAUAAGACAAACACGUUUUUUCGAGUUAGCGAACAAUUACAAAUACCUAGCGAACAAUUAUGAGAAUACAUACAAUCUUAAAAAAAAAAAAAAAAAAAACUAUCUUAAGUUAAUUUUGGACAUAUUUAUAGAGAUUGUGACGGGCAACGGCUAUACAGCUGUUGUAGAAGAGACAUUUGCGCAUCGUUUAAGAAAAUCUCCAGAGUGGUUUAUGUUCGAGAAUCUCAAGUUACGGUUAACAAACGGAAAUUUUGAAAUUGGCAAAAUGAAAUUAGGGGGUAGGCCAAUUUAGGUUAAUUUUGUACCCAUUUAUAGAGAUUGUGACGGGCAACGACUUUAUAGGUGUUUUAGAGGAAACAUUGGCGCAUCGUUUAAGAAAAUCUCCAGAGUGGUUUAUGUUCGAAAAUCUGAAGUUACUGUUAAAAAACGAAAAUUGUGAAAUUGGCAAAAUGAAAUUAGGGGUAAGCCAAUUUAAAUUAAUUUUGUACUCAUUUAUAGAGAUUGUGACGGGCAACGACUUUAUAGGUGUUAUAGAGGAGACAUUGGCGCAUCGUGUAAGACAAUCCUCAGAGUGGUUUAUGUUCGAAAAUCUGAAGUUACUGUUAAAAAACUGAAAUUGUCAAACUGUCAAAAUGAGAUUAGGGGGGGGGGGGGUACACCAAUUUAAGUUAAUUUUGGACCCGUUUAUAGAGAUUGUGACGCAUAAUGACUAUAUAGGUGUUGUAGAAGAGAUAUUUGCGCAUUGUUUAAGAAAAUCUCCAGAGUGGUUUAUGUUCGAAAAUCUGAAGUUACGGUUAAAAAACGGAAAUUGUGAAAUUGACAAAAUGAGAUUAGGGGGGUAGACACAUUUAAGUUAAUUUUGGACCUAUUUAUAGAGAUUGUGACGGGCAACGACUAUAUAGGUGUUAUAGAGGAGACAUUGGCGCAUCGUGUAAGACAAUUCUCAGAGUGGUUUAUGUUCGAAAAUCUGAAGUUACUGUUAAAAAACUGAAAUUGUCAAACUGUCAAAAUGAGAUUAGGGGGGGGGGGGGGUACACCAAUUUAAGUUAAUUUUGGACCCGUUUAUAGAGAUUGUGGCGCAUAAUGACUAUAUAGGUGUUGUAGAAGAGAUAUUUGCGCAUUGUUUAAGAAAAUCUCCAGAGUGGUUUAUGUUCGAAAAUCUGAAGUUACGGUUAAAAAACGGAAAUUGUGAAAUUGACAAAAUGAGAUUAGGGGGCUAGACACAUUUAAGUUAAUUUUGGACCUAUUUAUAGAGAUUGUGACGGGCAACGACUAUAUAGGUGUUAUAGAGGAGACAUUGCCGCAUCGUUUAAGAAAAUCUCCAGAGUGGUUUAUGUUCGAAAAUCUGAAGUUACGGUUAAAAAACGGAAAUUGUGAAAUUGACAAAAUGAGAUUAGGGGGGGAUACACCAAUUUAAGUUAAUUUUGGACCUAUUUAUAGAGAUUGUGACGGGCAACGACUAUAUAGGUGUUAUAGAGGAGACAUUGGCGCAUCGUUUAAGAAAAUCUCCAGAGUGGUUUAUGUUCGAAAAUCUGAAGUUACGGUUAAAAAACGGAAAUUGUGAAAUUGACAAAAUGAGAUUAGGGGAG